AUUGAGAAUCUGACCUGCCCGGUGUUUAUAUUAACGGCUGCGGUAAUUUGACUGUGCAAAGGUAGCAUAAUCAUUUGCCUUAUAAUUGGAGGCUGGAAUGAAGGGUUUGACAAGAAUGUUAUUGUCUCUAUUUUGAUUUUUAGAAUUUUACUUUUAGGUGAAGAUGCCUAAAUUUUAUUGAUAGACAAGAAGACCCUAUCGAGCUUAAGAUUAUGUUUAAAAUUUAAGGUUUAGUUUUAUUUUAUAUAAUUUUGUUUAUUAUUAGUUUUUGGUUGGGGCGACUGGAGAACAUUAGAAGCUUCUCUUUAUAUGUGGUUUGAUAUUGUUUUGAUCCAAGUUUUGUAUUGAUUAGAAGAAUAAGUUACCGUAGGGAUAACAGCACUGUCUUUUUAGAGAGUUCAUAUUGAAAAAAGGGUUUGUGACCUCGAUGUUGGAUCAGAAUUUCCUAAAGAUGUAGAAGUCUUUAAGGGUUGGUCUGUUCGACCAUUAAAAUUCUA
rnacentral:rRNA from 1 species